rnacentral:rRNA from 1 species
GGCAGGCGCAGCUACACAUGCAGUCGAGCGAGAACUUCGGUUCUAGCGGCGGACGGGUUAGUAACGCGUGGGAACGUGCCCUUCACUACGGAAUAGUCCCGGGAAACUGGGUUUAAUACCGUAUACGCCCUUCGGGGGAAAGAAUUUCGGUGAAGGAUCGGCCCGCGUUAGAUUAGAUAGUUGGUGGGGUAACGGCCUACCAAGUCUACGAUCUAUAGCUGGUUUUAGAGGAUGAUCAGCAACACUGGGACUGAGACACGGCCCAGACUCCUACGGGAGGCAGCAGUGGGGAAUCUUAGACAAUGGGCGCAAGCCUGAUCUAGCCAUGCCGCGUGAGUGAUGAAGGCCUUAGGGUCGUAAAGCUCUUUCGCCAGGGAUGAUAAUGACAGUACCUGGUAAAGAAACCCCGGCUAACUCCGUGCCAGCAGCCGCGGUAAUACGGAGGGGGUUAGCGUUGUUCGGAAUUACUGGGCGUAAAGCGCGCGUAGGCGGAUUGGAAAGUUGGGGGUGAAAUCCCAGGGCUCAACCCUGGAACUGCCUCCAAAACUAUCAGUCUAGAGUUCGAGAGAGGUGAGUGGAACUCCGAGUGUAGAGGUGAAAUUCGUAGAUAUUCGGAAGAACACCAGUGGCGAAGGCGGCUCACUGGCUCGAUACUGACGCUGAGGUGCGAAAGUGUGGGGAGCAAACAGGAUUAGAUACCCUGGUAGUCC